UACGUAGGGGGCAAGCGUUGUCCGGAUUUAUUGGGCGUAAAGAGCGUGUAGGCGGUUAGGUAGGUCCGUUGGGAAAACUCGAGGCUCAACCUCGAGACGCCGAUGGAAACCAUCUGACUAGAGUCCGGAAGAGGAGAGUGGAAUUCCUGGUGUAGCGGUGAAAUGCGCAGAUAUCGGGAGGAACACCGGUGGCGAAGGCGGCAUCCUGGACCGGCAUUGACGCUGAGGAGCGAAAGCCAGGGGAGCAAACGGG
rnacentral:rRNA from 1 species